rnacentral:rRNA from 1 species
UGAGUAAUGCAUAGAAAUCUGCCCGGUAGUGGGGGAUAACCUGGGGAAACCCAGGCUAAUACCGCAUACGUCCUACGGGAGAAAGCAGGGGAUCUUCGGACCUUGCGCUAUCGGAUGAGUCUAUGUCGGAUUAGCUUGUUGGUGAGGUAAUGGCUCACCAAGGCGACGAUCCGUAGCUGGUCUGAGAGGAUGAUCAGCCACAUCGGGACUGAGACACGGCCCGAACUCCUACGGGAGGCAGCAGUGGGGAAUAUUGGACAAUGGGCGAAAGCCUGAUCCAGCCAUGCCGCGUGUGUGAAGAAGGCCUUCGGGUUGUAAAGCACUUUCAGUGGGGAAGAAAGCCUUGGGGCUAAUACCCUCGAGGAAGGACAUCACCCACAGAAGAAGCACCGGCUAACUCCGUGCCAGCAGCCGCGGUAAUACGGAGGGUGCGAGCGUUAAUCGGAAUUACUGGGCGUAAAGCGCGCGUAGGCGGUCUGAUAAGCCGGUUGUGAAAGCCCCGGGCUCAACCUGGGAACGGCAUCCGGAACUGUCAGGCUAGAGUGCAGGAGAGGAAGGUAGAAUUCCCGGUGUAGCGGUGAAAUGCGUAGAGAUCGGGAGGAAUACCAGUGGCGAAGGCGGCCUUCUGGACUGACACUGACGCUGAGGUGCGAAAGCGUGGGUAGCAAACAGGAUUAGAUACCCUGGUAGUCCACGCCGUAAACGAUGUCGACUAGCCGUUGGGCUCCUUGAGAGCUUUGUGGCGCAGUUAACGCGAUAAGUCGACCGCCUGGGGAGUACGGCCGCAAGGUUAAAACUCAAAUGAAUUGACGGGGGCCCGCACAAGCGGUGGAGCAUGUGGUUUAAUUCGAUGCAACGCGAAGAACCUUACCUACCCUUGACAUCGUGCGAACUUUCCAGAGAUGGAUUGGUGCCUUCGGGAACGCACAGACAGGUGCUGCAUGGCUGUCGUCAGCUCGUGUUGUGAAAUGUUGGGUUAAGUCCCGUAACGAGCGCAACCCUUGUCCUUAUUUGCCAGCGAGUAAUGUCGGGAACUCUAAGGAGACUGCCGGUGACAAACCGGAGGAAGGUGGGGACGACGUCAAGUCAUCAUGGCCCUUACGGGUAGGGCUACACACGUGCUACAAUGGCCGGUACAAAGGGUUGCGAAGCCGCGAGGUGGAGCUAAUCCCGAAAAGCUGGUCUCAGUCCGGAUCGGAGUCUGCAACUCGACUCCGUGAAGUCGGAAUCGCUAGUAAUCGUGAAUCAGAAUGUCACGGUGAAUACGUUCCCGGGCCUUGUACACACCGC